rnacentral:rRNA from 1 species
GACGAACGCUGGCGGCGUGCUUAACACAUGCAAGUCGAACGAUGAAGCCCAGCUUGCUGGGUGGAAGAGUGGCGAACGGGUGAGUAACACGUGAGUAACCUGCCCAUCACUCUGGGAUAAGCGCUGGAAACGGCGUCUAAUACUGGAUAUGAACAGCGGCCGCAUGGUCAGUUGUUGGAAAGAUUUAUUGGUGAUGGAUGGACUCGCGGCCUAUCAGCUAGUUGGUGAGGUAAUGGCUCACCAAGGCGACGACGGGUAGCCGGCCUGAGAGGGUGACCGGCCACACUGGGACUGAGACACGGCCCAGACUCCUACGGGAGGCAGCAGUGGGGAAUAUUGCACAAUGGGCGCAAGCCUGAUGCAGCAACGCCGCGUGAGGGAUGACGGCCUCGGUUGUAACGUACUUUACGUUAGGUAAGGAAGACGACGAAGUAGACGGUACCGUACGUCGAGAAAAGAACGAACCGGACCGUAACCGUAACCG